GUAAAAGCCAAGUUUAAGCAUUGGUUGGAUACCUUUGAAACUAAUUCAGAGAGCUGUAAUUUUGCCGCGUCUAGACCAACUACUCCAAUGUUCUGCUUUCCAAGUGUCUCCUGAGCUUUUUCUAGGACUGUUUGAAGGUAAAAGGCCAUUCUGUUUGAAUUGGAAGUAGACAGGAUCAUGUACCUCAAGCUGCUCGUGUAGCCUCCUCUGGACUUCGAUUUGCAUCUGCAAUGCUUCAUUUAUAUGUAUAUUCCUGAAUUCAAAAACAAUUAGCAGUUGCAAGAUUUGGUUCUUGCAUUUUCUCAGCUGACAUGAGAACUGUACAUGAGUAAUUUCAGUCAUAUUUUCCAUUUUGAGUGUAAAAUUUUUCUAGAGAUAUGAACAUAUGAUGAAGAAAAAUAUCUGAGAAGAUUAUAGCAUUCAUACCAGCUUUGCUGGCUCCACUGGUGGUUUGUCCAUGAGUAUUCUUGCUGAGUCUGUACUUCUGCAGAGAAAAAAGAAAAAGGAACUUUAAUAUUGGAUCCAUGUUCAGAGUUCCACUUAAAAGAGUUGAAAAAUGAAUAUAUUGAAAAGUUAAUAAUCAUUUUGGUUCUAAAUAUCUAAGCAUGACUGGAAUUAUGUGGUGAAACCUGAACUGUGGCUGGUAAGCCAUGAAUUUAGAGAGACACAAUCACCUGAAGAUGACUUUUCAGGUGGUACAAAGUUAGUCCUGGAAUUCCCAUAAGUUUCAUGACUGUUUUCGGGGUAGCCUCUGCAAAAUAUCAGGAAUAAAAUGUGUUAGCAGGCCCUUAUGAUGCUUUUGGCUAUUGCAUACGCCAGUCAAAUAUAGUGUGCAUGUUAAAACAGACAUACUAUCUG